rnacentral:ncRNA from 2 species
GCGUAAGCUCGUCGCGACGGUUUCCCCGCGGCGACGAGCCCGGGGGAUUAAAAGGGAACACGGUGAGGACGACCCAAUCGGGGCCGAAACCGUGGCUGCCCCCGCAACUGUAAGCGGAUGCCGAUCAUCCCCGGGACGCUUCUUCAGCGUUUCGGCGGGCCGCCGGGUCGCCCCGGCGCCAUGCCACUGCCGGAGCCCGAAGGGCCGAGGCGGGAAGGCAGAUGAUCGGCGCGAUGUCCGCGAGCCAGGAGACCUGCCGUCGAGCGAUCGAUCCA